rnacentral:rRNA from 1 species
GCUUGUCUCAAAGAUUAAGCCAUGCAUGUCUAAGUAUAAGCACUUAUACCGUGAAACUGCGAAUGGCUCAUUAUAUCAGUUAUAGUUUAUUUGAUAGUUCCUACUACUUGGAUAACCGUAGUAAUUCUAGAGCUAAUACAUGCUGCAAGGCCUGACUUCGGAAAGGCUGCAUUUAUUAGAUACAACCAACCCCUCGCGGGUCCCUGGUGAAUCAUAAUAACUUAGCGAACCGCAUGCUUCGGCGGCGGUGGUUCAUUCAAGUUUCUGCCCUAUCAUGCUCUCGAUGGUAGUGUAUUGGACUACCAUGGCUCUCACGGGUAACGGGGAAUUAGGGUUCGAUUCCGGAGAAGGAGCCUGAGAAACGGCUACUACAUCUAAGGAAGGCAGCAGG